UGUGGUCAUUUUUAUAAAUUUCCUGUUUACAAAACUUUGAAUUUUUCGAAAAACUAAGGAUUUUCUUGUCCCAGGAAUAGAUUACCUUAGCCGUAUUUGGCACAACUUUUCGGAAUUUUGGAUCCUCAAUGCUCUUCAACUUUGUACUAGUUUGGCUUUAUAACUAUUUUGAUAUGAGCGUCACUGAUGAGUCUUAUGUAGACGAAAC
rnacentral:lncRNA from 1 species